ensembl:lncRNA
GAUGUCUCCGUCAAAUAAUUUGGUGUGUCAUAGUAACAGGUGAAGAGCACUGCCACCUCACAUCAAGAAGGCGCUGGGUCUGAAGAUUUCUGCAGCCUUUGUUCUCUCUGUGCCUGAAACAUUUUCUCCAGGUAGUCUCCUUCAAAGGUCCAAGGACGUGUAGGUUAAUUGCUGAUUGUUCGCUGUGGGUGGAGAAAAAGACUGCAAAAGUAAAUUUCCAAGUUAACAAAUGAAUAUUGUGAAAUAAAUAUGUAAUUUGAAUGAGCUGGGGUUUGUUUUUUGUUUUUGUUUUUUUUUACAUCACAGGGUACUCCUGCAGUGCCACACAGUUGUAGCAAGCAGCUGCUAUUUUUUCUGAGAGUUUAUUAUAGAUCAGAUGUUUUUUUCCUCUAUAUUAUUCUUUCGGUAUCGGCCAUUACAUCUCCAUAAUUGCAUUAAAGUGGAAGAUAAACAUGAAAGGGUCUGCAAAUUGGUGUGACACUGAUACUUUCCCAUUUUGUCACAAUAAACAAAUUAUGUGUCACGGUCGGACGGCCCUUUCCGGACGACCCUGCUUGUGUUUAUGUUUUCUGUAUAUGUGUUUGCUUCUCCCUCCCUGGCCCUCGGGGUUGUUUACGGAAGUGCGCGCCGUGGGAGAGGCGUGUCCUGGCGACUGUCGUCAUUGGGAGUCCCUCUUCGCUGUUGCCGGCCCACCUGCAGCUGAUUACCUGACCAGUGGUUGGUAAUCAUUCCUCCAGGCUAGAAAGGGGUAUUUAACCUGGACUCACGGUGACAGUCGACGUGGGAUUAUUACUCCGAACUGGAGGGGCGAGCGGAGAAGCGAGUUGGGGAGCACACACACUAAGGGAGUUACUACACGGAAC